rnacentral:lncRNA from 1 species
UUUAUAAUAAAAAAACACAGUGGUUAUAUCUUCACGUGGAACGCCAAGCCCCGGCCUCCCAGAACAGAGCACAGGAGGUGCAGGGCGUGCUGGGCGGCGGGCGGGGGCCAGGCUCGGCGGGAAGACCCCCGAGCAGCCGCCUUGCGCCUGCGCUUCUCUGCUCACGGGCUUGCCAAAGGGUGAAAGGCAACCUUUUUAAAGGUUGUAAUUACAAAAAGGCGAUGAUUCUUAGUGAAGAUUCAAACUCUCUUAAAUUAAAGAAAAAGAGAAAAGAAAGAAAGGAAUUCCUGGAUUCGUGUAAUUAAAAAGUCAAGGGCAGGUAUAGUCCUAGGCAAGCUUGGAUCCAGACAACCACCCAUUACCCAGCGACGUCGUUUUCUCUCCGGAUCUUGGCUUUGCUUUCUUCUGUGUUAACUUCACUCUCAGGAGACCUUGCCUGUUGGUGGUCCCUGGCAGCCCCAGGCUUUUGUCAUCCUUAUAGCAAAGAACUGCUGGUCCCAGCAGAUGCACCAAAGCCAUCCCUGGACCCAUGUCUUGCCCAGUGGCAUAGAAUAAGCUGCUUAGAUCACAUGCCCGUCUUUAGAGAGAAACAGAGGGCCCAGUCCUAUGCAAACUGCCAUAGACUGCCGUACAUAGAGAAAGUAGAGGAGGCUGACGCUGCGGGCUUGUUUGUCCAUCCGUUCCUGCAUCCCUUUAAAGCAUCUGCUCUGCCUUCAGAGGACUCAGUAGCGCUGCUCGACUCAGAUGGGAGGAUGUGAUCAGACGUCAGGGGAAGUUUCCCGGAAAAGGCUUAAACUACUAGAAGCCAUUAUUCAAGGAAAAUUGUGGGUGCUAGAAGACAUGAACUCGCGUAUGUGGCUCAGGCCGUAUUUCUGCUGGCCAGCGCCGGCCAGUCCGCUGCGGGAGUGCUCAGGAAGUCAAGACACCAGGCGCUGGGAGGCCUGACGCGCGGCAUCUUGUCCAUCUGGCCAUUGGAGCUCCAUGCUGCGACGGCCGCGCAGAGGAGCUGGGUCCAGAGCGCCCGGCGCAUCUGCCGUAUCGCGGACUCGACGCCAGCAUCACUGCUGCAUGGAUUCAGACUGGGAUAGACUGCUCCCGAAAUUUGACUUGGAGAAGAAAGCGUGACGUGCACUUCCUGUGUGUGGCAGUCCGCGAGCCGUCCCCGGGCGCCCUCCUCCCGCCUCCACCACUUUGCGCCUGGCUUUCUCUUUGCCCGGAGGAGCCCUCCUCCCGCCUCCACUGGUGAAAUCCUCCUCCGUCCUCACUGCCCAGUUCAAGUCCUCGUCCUCUUUCCGGGCUUCCUGGUUCUCCAGAUGGGAAAAGAGGUGCUCCUAAUCCACGCUCUCGCAGGAGAAGCAGAGCAAGCGCGCAGGGAGUGCUGACUGUCCAUGAGACAUCAUCGGGAUUUCUAGCUGGCGUUUCCUAGAAUCACCUUCCAAAUGAACCACCUGUACUUGAAUGGUGGUUUGAGCGCUGGUGUCUGGAGGAACCAAAACUAAGACAAUGGCUGUAUCAAGAGUCUGAAGAAUGAAGUCAUGGUCGGAGUCUGAGUCAUGCUUCAGAACUGUUUACUGAGAGAAAAGUGCUUCUGAUGGAAGCUCACGCACCAGUGAGGUUGGGGAGCACGAGAAAGUGAGAACAGAAUGGGGCUGAAGGAAAGGACAGGAAAGGAGAAGGGGUUACUUCAACAAGUUGGUUCUGCCGGAGGCUCAGGAACGUGGAGAAGCAGUUUGAGGUGUGCAGAGGAGAAAUGCACAGAAGGCCAGGAAGCCCGACACUAGAUCACUGCCUCCUGGGAAAUCAUGAAAUCUGAUUAAAACAGACACCGUAAGGGCUCUUUUUGUGCUAUGCACUUUUCUUCCUGGGGAAUUUGCAUAUUCCCUGAUAAAAAGAUAGAUAUAAAGUGUCCUGAAGAAUAUUAAGAAGUAAACCGUAGUACAACGCCUUUAGUUUUGAAUAGUAAGAACUCUGUUUCCUCAUUUCCUUUGGAAAUCUAACAAAAUAUUCCUUAUGAAAAAUUUUUGAGGAUAAGCACUUAAAAGACAUUGCUACAAGCUGUGCUCCUAAUGUUUUCUUAUCAUUUUUUACCUACAUGGAAAGCAUACAGAUCACCAUGACGGCCCCGUAGCUGCCAAGUGAAAGGGUGUUAAGAUGAUUUUGACCCUCUACAUUGAAUGUGCUGUCAUCUUUACUGUAAAAGAAAUUACCUAGACUCAAAUCAUUAUCCAGAAGUCACUAAAUCUUUUGACAUAAAAUGGCAAAAUCUUUUAAGAAUAAAUGAUAUAGCAAGACCAAGGAUAAACUGAGUUCAACAAAAAUCAAUUGCUGUGAAAUCUAGUUUGUCUAUUUUGAUUUUGUCUAUUUCCUUGUCUUUCUCCUGGGGAGAGGAGCAGAUUUUGUACCUAAACCAAAGAUGGGGACACCACUGGUGAAGCCGUUCUUUUGUCUUCUUCCCGCAACGCAUGCCUCUGCUUGAACCUCUUCCCUCCCAGGUCUGAGGUGGGAGCUUGGGGACCCCAGGGUCCUAAGGGAAUGACAAUUGUGGCAUUCAUCUCUGGGAGGACAGGGGGAGAGGGUGUAUAAGAAAAUAGUGUUCAGGCCAGUUAAUGACGUGAGCGGGGGAAGGGCAAGCGUGGGGAACGGAGCGGGUUCUGAGAGCAAGAAGGGGAUGAAAUGGGUGAU